AAAGAAAAGAAGAAAAGGAGGAAGAAAAGAGGAAGGAGAAGAGGAAGAAGGGAGGAGGCGGCGGCGGCUUCCAGCCGGUGGGGGCAGGCUCCGGAGGCGCGCGAAGCCGGCCGAGGGUGCUGCUGGCGCCGGCGAGCCCAGCAGCGGCGGCGGCGACGUUAGCAGCAGCAAAAAAAAAAAAGAAGGGAGCGUUGUGGCUGUCGGCGCCGUUCCGGCCGUUUCCGACGUCCUUUGGCGGCGAGGUCGGUCUUGUCUUGACCGGUGAGUUGAGGGCUUCCUUUUGGUGGCGGUGGCGUCGGCUUUGGUGGCCGGAGGAGGGAUUUUCCGGCCAGGUGAUGGCAGCCGCGUUUUCCGGAUUUUCCGGCGAGCUCCGGCGGAGGAUGGACGAUCGGAGAACGUAUCCCGACUCUCCUCAGCUCAAGCUUCGCAAUGGCACCAGUUUCGUGGCGAUCGGACUUCGUUUGCAAAUCGACGGCCGAGAUCGUCCGCAAAUCUCUCUGGAUGAUCGGGGGUCGGAUCGGAAAAUUGGAAGUGGGGAUCGUCAUCAGCGCGUCGUUUCGAGUCUGAUGGUGUGUUCGGAUCGUCAAUCGGACUCCGGCGGCUAAAAGCAAGUCGACUGAGGAAUCAAGCGUCUCGAUAAUCCGUCUGUUCGGCUCGCUCCAACCGAGGCACCGGAGCAAAGCUAGGAGGUCGCCUAAGCUAUUCGUGACUGUUAAUCUUCCCGUGACUCUUAUUCAGUAACCUGACUCCUUUAUCAUCAAAUGGUGUAUUUGAUUUGGUAUGUUAAUUUGUAAAAUCUUAGAUUAUCUGCAGUAGUAAUAGUAGAUGUUUCAGUUGUAAAUUUUCUGAGUUUCGGGUCUCGCCAAAUUCUUCUAGCAGACCGAAUUAAUUGUGUAAAAUUCAAUGGUUCCGAUAAAGUGUGGCAUUAAUAACAUUAAAUGAGAUGAGAUUUAUUUAA